GACGAACGCUGGCGGCGUGCCUAAUACAUGCAAGUAGAACGCUGAAGAGAGGAGCUUGCUCUUCUUGGAUGAGUUGCGAACGGGUGAGUAACGCGUAGGUAACCUGCCUUGUAGCGGGGGAUAACUAUUGGAAACGAUAGCUAAUACCGCAUAACAAUGGAUGACACAUGUCAUUUAUUUGAAAGGGGCAAUUGCUCCACUACAAGAUGGACCUGCGUUGUAUUAGCUAGUAGGUGAGGUAAUGGCUCACCUAGGCGACGAAACAUAGCCGACCUGAGAGGGUGAGCGGCCGCCCUGGGAGUGGGACACGGCCCAGACGCCUACGGGAGGCAGCAGUAGGGAAUCUUCGGCAAUGGGGGCAACCCUGACCGAGCAACGCCGCGUGAGUGAAGAAGGUUUUCGGAUCGUAAAGCUCUGUUGUAAGUCAAGAACGGGUGUGAGAGUGGAAAGUUCACACUGUGACGGUAGCUGACCAGAAAGGGACGGCUAACUACGUG
rnacentral:rRNA from 1 species